GACGAACGCUGGCGGCGUGCUUAACACAUGCAAGUCGAGCGGUAAGGCCCUUUCGGGGGUACACGAGCGGCGAACGGGUGAGUAACACGUGGGUGACCUGCCCUCAGCUCUGGGAUAAGCCUGGGAAACCGGGUCUAAUACUGGAUAUGACUCCAUGACGCAUGUUGUGGGGUGGAAAGCCUUGUGCGGCUGAGGAUGGGCCCGCGGCCUAUCAGCUUGUUGGUGGGGUGANGGCCUACCAAGGCGACGACGGGUAGCCGGCCUGAGAGGGCGACCGGCCACACUGGGACUGAGACACGGCCCAGACUCCUACGGGAGGCAGCAGUGGGGAAUCUUGCGCAAUGGGCGAAAGCCUGACGCAGCGACGCCGCGUGAGGGAGUGACGGCC
rnacentral:rRNA from 1 species